AGUGAACGCUGGCGGUAGGCCUAACACAUGCAAGUCGAACGGCAGCACAGUAAGAGCUUGCUCUUACGGGUGGCGAGUGGCGGACGGGUGAGGAAUACAUCGGAAUCUACUUUUUCGUGGGGGAUAACGUAGGGAGACUUACGCUAAUACCGCAUACGACCUACGGGUGAAAGCAGGGGAUCUUCGGACCUUGCGCGAUUGAAUGAGCCGAUGUCGGAUUAGCUAGUUGGCGGGGUAAAGGCCCACCAAGGCGACGAUCCGUAGCUGGUCUGAGAGGAUGAUCAGCCACACUGGAACUGAGACACGGUCCAGACUCCUACGGGAGGCAGCAGUGGGGAAUAUUGGACAAUGGGCGCAAGCCUGAUCCAGCCAUACCGCGUGGGUGAAGAAGGCCUUCGGGUUGUAAAGCCCUUUUGUUGGGAAAGAAAAGCAGCAGGUUAAUAUCCCGCUGUUCUGACGGUACCCAAAGAAUAAGCACCGGCUAACUUCGUG
rnacentral:rRNA from 1 species